AACGGAGAGGUUGGACCAAACCAAAGGAAUGGUGUUUCUGGUAGAGGCUGAGUGGGCAGAACCUAGCUCCAUGUCCCCCACAGAGAUGCUGCCCCUCUCCUUUCGGCUCUCCCAUGGAGCUUGAUGGAUUAGCUCAGGAAGGAAUACUGGCAGGAAGAGAUGAACCCAUUAUGUGAAUGAUAGCCUCUCUCAUCAGUGCCGGCAGUGGGAAGAGGAGAAUGUGGAAGACGUUAAUCUGCUUUAUUACAUUUAUUUCUCUCUCCUUGUUUUUCUCCCCUGGAGACUUUGCAGGCUUGGGGGGGAAAACCUUGCUCUGUGCAGAUAGGAAUGUAACUGAGGAUCCAGAAGCCAAGCUGGGCAAAAUGGCAAUUCUGCACGGUGUCCUAUUUGGAAUUACCCUGAGCCUUAGAGACGAGGUGAUAUUGCCAAGACAACUUUCAUUGCACCCGUUUAAGGUAAAUGACAAGCUUUUGUGACCAGCUGGAUGGGUGCAGGACAUGCACAAAUUGCAGGAAUGAAGCCAAGGAAAGGAGAAUGAGUCAAAUACCUUGUUGUACAGCUUCCUGAAGACCCCCAAGAAGAAACUGUGUUAAUUAUAAACGUGAACAUCUUUCCCAACCUAAACCUCUCUGCUAUGUACACUUGCACUACUAAUGCUAGAAUCUUAAACUGUGAAAUAGGAAUAAAUCCAAUAAUUGUGUUA